rnacentral:rRNA from 1 species
UACGUAGGGUGCGAGCGUUGUCCGGAAUUACUGGGCGGAAAGAGCUCGUAGGUGGUUUGUCGCGUUGUUCGUGAAAUCUCACGGCUUAACUGUGAGCGUGCGGGCGAUACGGGCAGACUAGAGUACUGCAGGGGAGACUGGAAUUCCUGGUGUAGCGGUGGAAUGCGCAGAUAUCAGGAGGAACACCGGUGGCGAAGGCGGGUCUCUGGGCAGUAACUGACACUGAGGAGCGAAAGCGUGGGGAGCGAACAGG